ensembl:lncRNA
CAUCUUAGUACCUUUCACAAAUUUUAGCAGACUUUUCUUUCUUUCUUGUCAAAUAUUAAAAGUUUAGGAUUCUAACUCCAAAAACUGGUUUUGCAAAACAUUACCCAAACUUUUAUGACUGUGUGAGGAUAAAUUCACUUAGUUUUUGUUAUGCACCUCACGCUACUGCCCUUCCCACUUCCAUUUGGUGUACCUGAUUUUCUAUCUUUUCACAUAAAUGUGAGAGCCAGUGUUUCUUCUGAAAAAAUAAUAAUCAAAAAAUGCUUUUGAGCUAUUUUGUUAUUUUAAAUCCAGAAGUGGUAAUGGAAGAAUUUAGUUAUCAAUUUUACUGUUUUCCUCACAGUUAGUAAAGGAAAACUGUGACUUCCUUGCUUCACCUAUCAUUAUGGAAAUUGGCUGUUUUUGCCUGGUAGAGAAAUUAGGAGCUCCAGGCUCCUCCAGGAUUCUGCCAGCACCACCCUGACUCAUCACCUGGGGCUCCCUGAAGAGAGACAGAGCAGAGAGAAUCCCCAGAGAGUGUCUUCUAACACACUUUCUGGAACCCCCGUGCCUUCCACUGUGAAGAUGAGAUUGUGUUGCCACACAAAAUAUUCUAAGCAUUUUAAUGAAGUUGAAUUCCAGGGAAUUAAAACAGGUAGAUGAUAUAGAGCAUUUCUUCCAUGAAAUGAAAGAUAAAAGGGUCACUGUGAAACUCUAGGACGUGGGUAAGUAGUGUCUGACUAAUGCUGAUUCAAUCAACUUGGGAGCUCAAAUUUUAUCUUCAGAAAUAAGUGAGACAAUAAUGGAAAAAUCCAUAGACAGAGAGAUGAAGAGGAGAGAGUAGUGACAGGCCGGCGAGUGAUACUGAUAAUGGCACAUAAAGUCCCUAUGAUGACUACGUCCAAACUGGAAGGUAUUUUAUAGACCAUCCAGGCCAAGUUCUUUAUUCUAUAAAUGGGAAAAUAAAACCCAGAAUAAUUAAAGUGGUAGGAACUUACGGUGUUUUGGAUGAAUUCUUGUUACAUUCCUCUGAUUGGUCUAGAACCCUUUAGAGAGUUCAAAGGAUCCUUCUGUCUCAGCCUCCUGAGUAGCCGAGACUAUAGGUACACAUCCCUGUACCUAGCUUUGGCUUGAUGUUUUUAAUGUUGUCAUUUAAUUUGACAUCAGAAAAACUAAAAGAUGCACAGCAACUCUUAGAAUCUCCAUGACUUUUG